rnacentral:rRNA from 1 species
AGUGAACGCUGGCGGUAGGCCUAACACAUGCAAGUCGAACGGCAGCACAGUAAGAGCUUGCUCUUACGGGUGGCGAGUGGCGGACGGGUGAGGAAUACAUCGGAAUCUACUUUUUCGUGGGGGAUAACGUAGGGAAACUUACGCUAAUACCGCAUACGACCUACGGGUGAAAGCAGGGGAUCUUCGGACCUUGCGCGAUUGAAUGAGCCGAUGUCGGAUUAGCUAGUUGGCGGGGUAAAGGCCCACCAAGGCGACGAUCCGUAGAUGGUCUGAGCGGAUGAUCAGCCACACUGGAACUGAGACACGGUCCAGACUCCUACGGGAGGCAGCAGUGGGGAAUAUUGGACAAUGGGCGCAAGCCUGAUCCAGCCAUACCGCGUGGGUGAAGAAGGCCUUCGGGUUGUAAAGCCCUUUUGUUGGGAAAGAAAAGCAGCAGGUUAAUACCCCGCUGUUCUGACGGUACCCAAAGAAUAAGCACCGGCUAACUUCGUG